UGCAGACUUGCCUUGGAGCUGGCCACUCCCCUUAUAGUCUCCGUGGAACAUCCCAUCAAGCCUGGAUGCUGCUGAUCAACUCCACCUCCUGCGGUCGGGCCCCAGCCGCCGUUCCCGACAGGUUAGGUUAUCCGUGGCAAUGGCGAACGGGAUCUCGGUGGCGUCUAGCGACUUCAACAGCCUUCUCUUCUGCUGCAGGAGGAGGUCUGUCUCGGCCACCAGCUUUUCGAUGUGCCGCUGCAGCUCCGACUUCCAGAAGUGGAUAUGCUGCAG